rnacentral:rRNA from 1 species
CCUGAAACCGUGUGCCUACAAAUAGUUAAAUCCCGUUAAUGGGUGAUAGCGUGCCUUUUGUAGAAUGAACCGGCGAGUUACGAUCCCAUGCGAGGUUAAGUUGAUGAGACGGAGCCGUAGCGAAAGCGAGUCUGAAUGGCGAAUGAGUAUGUGGUCGUAGACCCGAAACCAAGUGAUCUACCCAUGUCCAGGUUGAAGGUGCGGUAAUACGCACUGGAGGACCGAACCCACGUAUGUUAAAAAAUGCGGGGAUGAGGUGUGGGUAGCGGAGAAAUUCCAAUCGAACUUGGAGAUAGCUGGUUCUCUCCGAAAUAGCUUUAGGGCUAGCCUCGAAUGUAUCGUUAUGGUGGUAAAGCACUGAAUGGGCUAGGGGCCUCACAAGGUUACCGAACUCAAUCAAACUCUGAAUGCCAUACACGACUGUUCGGGAGUCAGACUACGGGUGCUAAGAUCCGU